rnacentral:rRNA from 1 species
AUUGAACGCUGGCGGCAGGCCUAACACAUGCAAGUCGAGCGGGGUUUUCGGACCUAGCGGCGGACGGGUGAGUAAUGCGUAGGAAGCUGCCCGAUAGAGGGGGAUACCAGUUGGAAACGACUGUUAAUACCGCAUAAUGUCUACGGACCAAAGUGUGGGACCUUCGGGCCACAUGCUAUCGGAUGCGCCUACGUGGGAUUAGCUAGUUGGUGAGGUAAUGGCUCACCAAGGCGACGAUCUCUAGCUGGUUUGAGAGGAUGAUCAGCCACACUGGAACUGAGAAACGGUCCAGACUCCUACGGGAGGCAGCAGUGGGGAAUAUUGCGCAAUGGCCGCAAGGCUGACGCAGCAACGCCGCGUGGGUGAAGAAGGCCUUCGGGUCGUAAAGCCCUGUCAGGUGGGAAGAAAGGGUCUUUCAAGAAACGGGGAGAUUUUGACGGUACCACCAGAGGAAGCACCGGCUAACUCCGUGCCAGCAGCCGCAGUAAAAC